rnacentral:rRNA from 3 species
CGGUUAAGUUAGAAAGGGCGCACGGUGGAUGCCUUGGCACUAGGAGCCGAUGAAGGACGGGACGAACACCGAUAUGCUUCGGGGAGCUGUAAGCAAGCUUUGAUCCGGAGAUUUCCGAAUGGGGAAACCCACCACUCGUAAUGGAGUGGUAUCCAUAUCUGAAUUCAUAGGAUAUGAGAAGGCAGACCCGGGGAACUGAAACAUCUAAGUACCCGGAGGAAGAGAAAGCAAAUGCGAUUCCCUGAGUAGCGGCGAGCGAAACGGGAUUAGCCCAAACCAAGAGGCUUGCCUCUUGGGGUUGUAGGACACUCUGUACGGAGUUACAAAAGAACGAGGUAGAUGAAGAGGUCUGGAAAGGCCCGCCAUAGGAGGUAACAGCCCUGUAGUCAAAACUUCGUUCUCUCCUGAGUGGAUCCUGAGUACGGCGGAACACGUGAAAUUCCGUCGGAAUCCGGGAGGACCAUCUCCCAAGGCUAAAUACUCCCUAGUGACCGAUAGUGAACCAGUACCGUGAGGGAAAGGUGAAAAGCACCCCGGAAGGGGAGUGAAAGAGAUCCUGAAACCGUGUGCCUACAAGUAGUCAGAGCCCGUUAACGGGUGAUGGCGUGCCUUUUGUAGAAUGAACCGGCGAGUUACGAUCCCGUGCAAGGUUAAGCAGAAGAUGCGGAGCCGCAGCGAAAGCGAGUCUGAAUAGGGCGCAUGAGUACGUGGUCGUAGACCCGAAACCAGGUGAUCUACCCAUGUCCAGGGUGAAGUUCAGGUAACACUGAAUGGAGGCCCGAACCCACGCACGUUGAAAAGUGCGGGGAUGAGGUGUGGGUAGGGGUGAAAUGCCAAUCGAACCUGGAGAUAGCUGGUUCUCUCCGAAAUAGCUUUAGGGCUAGCCUCAAGGUAAGAGUCUUGGAGGUAGAGCACUGAUUGGACUAGGG